UACGGAGGGUGCAAGCGUUAUCCGGAUUUACUGGGUUUAAAGGGUGCGUAGGUGGGUAGGUAAGUCAGUGGUGAAAUCUUCGAGCUUAACUCGGAAACUGCCAUUGAUACUAUCUGUCUUGAAUACUUUGGAGGUAAGCGGAAUAUGUCAUGUAGCGGUGAAAUGCUUAGAUAUGACAUAGAACACCAAUUGCGAAGGCAGCUUACUACACAGUCAUUGACACUGAGGCACGAAGGCGUGGGGAUCAAACAGG
rnacentral:rRNA from 1 species